UAUUGCACAAUGGGGGAAACCCUGAUGCAGCAACGCCGCGUGAGUGAAGAAGUAUUUCGAUAUGUAAAGCUCUAUCAGCAGGGAAGAAGAUGACGGUACCUGAGUAAGAAGCCCCGGCUAACUCCGUGCCAGCAGCCGCGGUAAUACGUAGGGGGCAAGCGUUAUCCGGAUUUAAUGGGUGGAAAGGGAGCGUAGACGGCAGAGCAAGGCUGAAGUGAAAGCCCAAGGCUCAACCAUGGGACUGCUUUGGAAACUGUUAAGCUAGAGUGCUGGAGAGGUAAGCGGAAUUCCUAGUGUAGCGGUGAAAUGCGUAGAUAUUAGGAAGAACACCAGUGGCGAAGGCGGCUUACUGGACAGUAACUUACGUUGAGGCUCGAAAGCGUGGGGAGCAAAC
rnacentral:rRNA from 1 species